rnacentral:rRNA from 1 species
UACAUGGGGUGCAAACGUUGUUCGGAAUUAUUGGGCGUAAAGCGCACGUAGGCGGUUCGUUAAGUCGGAUGUGAAAGCCCUCGGCUCAACUGAGGAAGUGCACCCGAAACUGGCGAGCUUGAGUACGAAAGAGGAUCGCGGAAUUCCCGGUGUAGAGGUGAAAUUCGUAGAUAUCGGGAGGAACACCGGUGGCGAAGGCGGCGAUCUGGGUCGAUACUGACGCUGAGACGCGAAAGCGUGGGGAGCGAACAGG